rnacentral:misc_RNA from 1 species
UGUUUGUGUUGUGUCCAUUGAUCUGAUUAGAAUGGAAAAGGCGUCUAUGUGAAAGCUCUUUUUUCAGGCUAAGAUAGCGUCAGAUCAGAAAAUCACGUGACACACACUUAAAAUGGCAGAGUUAGAGGAUGAGUUGAUUGGAGAAGAUUUAGAUUAUGAGUAUGAUCUAGAUGAGGAGGAGGAAGAAGCCCUCCUUGCUGGUGAAACACAAGAGGUUGAAGAAGAUAUAAUUGAGUUACGUGUGGAGGAUGAGUUUGAAGAUGAUGAUGGUCAGAUGGGCAUGUCUCACUCCUCCAAUGUUCAUUCAUUGCAGACAUCAAAUGCUGUAUAUGAAAGGGAUAUUGAGGAUAACUAUAAUGAUAAUUCCCUGAAUGAUGAGUCCCUUAACAUAGAAACCCAAAAUAUUUUAGAAGAGGAGGAGGAAGAAGAGGAAGAGGAGGAGGAGGAAGAUGAGGAAGGAAGGAGUCGUGACCGUUUCAAGAGCGAAAGAUCCAAGAUAUCAUUGUCCAACACAACUGUGGAGCGAACCAUUCCAGACUCUCUAGACAAAGUGAAAGUGGAGAAGACAGAUGUCAUAGACCAUUCUAGAGGACGUGGUGGCUUUCGGGGCUGUGGCCGAGACAGAGGACGAGGCGGGGGACGAGGUGGCCAAAUGGGGGGAUGGCAGAGAGGGGGACCAAGAGGUGGGCAUCGAGGUGGGCACAGAGGGGGACCCAGAGGCUUGAUGUCGCAACCAGGAAACAGUGCAUGGGGCGGCCCAAGAUUCCAGAUCCAGCCGUGGGAGCGUCCACCCCUGUUGAUGAAUCCCCAGAUGCGACCAGGCAUACGACAGGGUAUUCCCAACAUGCAGAUGCAAAGGGGUGGCCCUCCUAACAUGGGUCGUCCACAGCUGCCCCUGGUGUCGUUACCUGGGGGAAUGCCAGACAGGCCUAAUGCACUCUUGGGCAAUCCCCCUAAUGUUGGAGGGUUCCCACGUCUUCCGCUGGGAAAUGUAGGUUUGUGGAGCGCUGCAGUCGUGCCAUGUGGAGCCGGUGCAAUACUAUCACAGCUAGUCAAUCAGGCGCAAAUUGAAAAUGACUUGAGGUCGUCUCUCAAGAGACGUUCUGAUGGGGAACCUAUGAACAACUCGCCACCCAAACACAUGAGAAUAAAUCAGCCAAAAUUGAGCAACCAACAGUCUGUUGCAUGGAAAAAACUCAACAAUGCAGUGAAUAGACAGCGAGGAGGUAUGGCUAAGAAAGGCCCUAUAUCUAGUCGACUUUCUAUGCCUGCACCAAAUGCCAAUCCAAAUUUGACAACCAUCAAGACUGUAGACAUUAAGCCUGUUCAGCAAAAUCAGGCAAACAGGGCACAAAGAGGUCAGGGGAGGAGGGAGCCAAAUGCCCAGAAUCAAAAUGAAGGUAACAAGCAGUCUGAGAAAGGAGCCAGUGAAGCUGACAAAGGAAAAGAGGCAAAUGACCAGGAUCAAAAGAUGGAAGAUCCCAACGAAGAUAAGGAGACACGAGAGUACCGGCUGAAACUGCAAAAGCAAAAAGAGCUGAGGGAGCAGAUCCUUGCCAAAAAAGAAGCCAGAAGGAAGGCAGCCGCAGCUAUCAAGGCCUCAGAGCUCGCCAGCAAAAAGGCAAGGGAAGAAAAGGAGAACAACAAGAAGGCCGAAGAUCAAAAGAAGAAGGAGCAGCACCCCUUCCAACAACCUCCACCGCCACAGCCAGGGCAGAUGGAUCGGAAAGGGUUCAAAGGUGGGCCAAAUCAACAUCAGAUACGACCAAACCAGCCGGGCAACCCACGCUUACCCGCUCCUCACCCAAAUCAGAACAGACAGCGAUUCAAUAGGCCACGGAUGCCUCCCCCUCUGAUGCCAGAAGGGCCACGUGCUCACCACAACCAUCAGCCUCCUUUCCGUAGACAGUCUCCUCCGCCUCUUGAUCGACAUCACCAUCGGCCAGAUGCUCACCAUCACCCCAGUCCAAUCAGGACACCACCUCCCUUAUUUAGUGAACCACCACCCCUUCAUAAUGUGGAUUCAGGUUUCCAACAAGAUGGAAUAAGACCACCCUAUUACGGCCCACACAGUAAUUCAGGGCAGCAGCCUUUGCAUCAUGUCCUGCCGCAAGAGAUGCAACCUCACCACCAUGGCCCUCCUCCCCAGCGGCACAUCCCACCCCCACAUCCCCCACCACCCAUUCACAACCAGCCACCACCCCACAUGCAGCACCCACCACCUUCUCACCCUCCACCUCUUCAGCAUCAUCCUCCUCCACACCAGCCACCUUCUGAUAUGCAGCACAUACCUGGACGACCUAACAUGCCUCCACCCCACCAUCAUGGACCUCCACAUUUGCAGGGUCCACCUCAUAGACCCUCCCAUCCACCCAGCCACGGCCCACCCCAUGCACAUCCCCCGGAUCUGAACCAGAGGCCACCAGUUUCCCAGGGCCAACGUGACCAGUACCACCAUCAGGGUGAUUCCUUCCCACCAAGAGGGCCUCCUCCGUUGCCUGCUCACCAUGAAUCAGUGGGAGGACAACGAGACUACAGGGAAAGCCAUCGGUUUACAGAGCCUCCUCCAUCUUGGGAGGAACCCCAUCACAUGUAUAAUGAAUAUAAUGAAGGCUAUAAUGAGCCUAGAGUGGACUCCUAUGAAAGGGAUGAUUACUAUCACAAAAACCAGUAUCAAGAGGAGCCUCCCUACCAGGACUCCUAUUAUGAUCAGCCAUACUCUGAGCCACCACCAAAGUAUGAAGAAGAAUACGAAAGGCCUCGAGGCAGGGAGGAGUACCCUCAAGAGCAGUACCCAGAAGAAUCAUACCAAGGAUAUGACCAGCCUGAACAGCAGGAGAAUUAUAGGCCAGCUGCUAGGAGCAGGGAUGUCAGAAGUCGCCUUGGAGGAAGAGUCACAGUUGGCCAAAAUCCACAUCAUCUGCAGGUUAAAGUUGUCCAGAAUCUCACAGAAGAAGCAGAGUCUCCACCAGCACAACCCCAAAUUGGACAGAAAAUACAAACUGUGCAACGGCAGCAACCAGCACGCUCACGUAAAUACAAAAGGAUCACAAGGAAGAACAUGAAAGGAGAAGUUAUUUCAGUUAAAAAGAUUCCGGUUGAUGAACACGGCAAUCAAAUUGGACCUCCAGUCACAGAAUUUGAAGCCAAUGAUUCUUAUAUAGAGAGCACAAAUACUGCUGCUUCGGUGUCUAGCAAUCAACAGCAGCGAGUGCCAGUUGUGAAGACAUUACGUCAAAUAGUUAGGAAAGUACCAGCAAAUCGACAGCAAACACAGCAGCAGCAGCAGCAAGUGCCACCAGCAACUCAGCAACAGGUCAAGCUAAGAGAAAUUCCACAAGCUGAUCAGAGCAAAGCACAGACUCAGCAGGGCAAAAUUGUAAAGAGAAUGGUUGUGUCCACUGGGGAUGUAUCGUCGCAGACCAGGAAGCGGUAUCCGGAGGGUGAUCACACAGACGCCAGCAUCACAGACAGGAAACACAGAAGGGUACCAUACUGUCCAUCUGUGUGAUCUACCGACCAAUCUCACAUUAACAGACAUUACUCAGAUGGUGAACAGUGCAGGAGUUGGGCAGCCUUUGGGUGUAGACUAUGUGUCAGGGUCAAGAGAGUGUGUCAUAACAUUCCAUCAGUCAGAGGUUGCUGCUAAGUUUUACCAGAAAAUAAAUCGCAGAAUGGUGAACAUGUCAUUUAUAAGGGCUAAGAUAUACUGAGAUUUUGCAU